GCGAGGCGACACGCGGACGCACCACCCGCUGGCGGUGGCGCCGCCGAGGCCGAGCCAUGUCGUCCGCGCCCACGCGCUCACGCCCCCCGGCUUCCGCCUCGGGCUGCGGCAGGCGCCUGGCGGAGGAGACGAAGCGGCCCUUCCGGCCCGCGCCGGACGACACCAAGCCGGUUCUCCGCGACCCGAUUUCCCGGUCGUGCUGGUGCCCAGCCUCGAGUCUCAACUGGAUCCCGAUGGGAGAUUUCAAUAAAAAAAAUCCUAAGAAACUGGAACCUGAAAACCAGUAGCGAUCGCGCUUACAAGCUAAACAACUUCAUGAUCGAAUCUUCAAAUUCAGUACACAAAUAUCUCACACUGGGCAGAAAUGUUACCAGAGCUCAUAACAGGAACGGGCAGGCAAAAUGUAGUGGAAGUUUGCUGCAGCCGAUGCUGUCCUACUGCGGAAGAAGCGAACGGAGGGCUAGUGAUACAAUCAAUCAAUGGGAACAAUGUGCGUUCUCGCUCA